AAGACUCUCAUGGCCUGAGAAGCCAUGGAUUUCAGUGGGUUUCAAGGUGGAAGAUUGUGAGAGGCGGCGAGGUUUCGAUAAGGUUCGAGAGUGUUUGAGAGAUGGGAGAGUUUUAGAGGUGGUCGGUAAGGUGAAAUGAUUUAGGGUUAAGGGGUGUUGGUGGAUUAAAAAAAGGAAAAGGUGAAUCAGGGACGUUGAUCAAAAUGAUCAACGGCCUGGAUUAAAAGAAAAUCAGGAUGAGUUUGAAAACGGGUUAAGGGGCCGAGUAAAAAUAACAAAUUGGGUCAUUUAAUCAUGUGGAACUUGGGUCAAUUACAG
rnacentral:lncRNA from 1 species